rnacentral:tRNA from 1 species
GUACCUCUAGCUCAGCUGGAUAGAGCGUUUGGCUACGGACCAAAAGGUCAGGGGUUCGAAUCCUCUGAGGUACGCCA